rnacentral:lncRNA from 1 species
GUCUUUGAAUUUCUUCCUGUUCAUGUUCUGAGCCUCCUGACUUAUCCUCAUCCUGGGAAGGAAAAGGAAAGCCAGAUGUUCCUGUUGAAAAAAAGUUGGAGCUUGAAAUUCAUCCAAAGUGAGCUGUCGGGAGGAGGUUCUAUGGCACGCAUCUGCCAGGAAGGGUUGAAGUCUCCUCUGGUCCAGAUACACCGUGACCUUCGCCUCGACAUCACGGGUUUCAUUAAGACCACAGGUUUCAUUAAGGUGUCGAUUUGCAAUUGAGCUGUUUCUCUCAUGAGCAUAUUCCUGGUACAGGGCAGCUGGGGAUGAAUGCUGAAACAAGGCUCGG